GGUGGCUCAGUGGUAGAGCGCUUGCCUUGAUUGCAUGAGGCCCUGGGUUCAAUUCCUCAGCACCA
rfam:Dipodomys ordii contig_61966, whole genome shotgun sequence.